rnacentral:rRNA from 1 species
GACGAACGCUGGCGGCGUGCUUAACACAUGCAAGUCGAACGGAAAGGCCCUGCUUUUGUGGGGUGCUCGAGUGGCGAACGGGUGAGUAACACGUGAGUAACCUGCCCUUGACUUUGGGAUAACUUCAGGAAACUGGGGCUAAUACCGGAUAGGAGCUCCUGCUGCAUGGUGGGGGUUGGAAAGUUUCGGCGGUUGGGGAUGGACUCGCGGCUUAUCAGCUUGUUGGUGGGGUAGUGGCUUACCAAGGCUUUGACGGGUAGCCGGCCUGAGGGGGUGACCGGCCACAUUGGGACUGAGAUACGGCCCAGACUCCUACGGGAGGCAGCAGUGGGGAAUAUUGCACAAUGGGCGGAAGCCUGAUGCAGCAACGCCGCGUGCGGGAUGACGGCCUUCGGAUUGUAAACCGCUUUCGCCUGUGACGAAGCGUGAGUGACGGUAAUGGGUAAAGAAGCACCGGCUAACUACGUG